rnacentral:rRNA from 1 species
AUUGAACGCUGACGGCAGGCUUAACACAUGCAAGUCGAGCGGAGAGAGGUAGCUUGCUACUGAUCUUAGCGGCGGACGAGUGAGUAAUGCUUAGGAAUCUGCCUAUUAGUGGGGGACAACAUUUCGAAAGGAAUGCUAAUACCGCAUACGUCCUACGGGAGAAAGCAGGGGAUCUUCGGUCCUUGCGCUAAUAGAUGAGCCUAAGUCGGAUUAGCUAGUUGGUGGGGUAAAGGCCUACCAAGGCGACGAUCUGUAGCGGGUCUGAGAGGAUGAUCCGCCACACUGGGACUGAGACACGGCCCAGACUCCGACGGGAGGCAGCAGUGGGGAAUAUUGGACAAUGGGGGGAACCCUGAUCCAGCCAUGCCGCGUGUGUGAAGAAGGCCUUUUGGUUGUAAAGCACUUUAAGCGAGGAGGAGGCUUACCUGGUUAAUACCCGGGAUAAGUGGACGUUACUCGCAGAAUAAGCACCGGCUAACUCUGUGCCAGCCGCCGCAGUAACAC